rnacentral:rRNA from 1 species
AGUGAACGCUGGCGGUAGGCCUAACACAUGCGAGUCGAACGGCAGCACAGUAAGAGCUUGCUCUUACGGGUGGCGAGUGGCGGACGGGUGAGGAAUACAUCGGAAUCUACUUUUUCGUGGGGGAUAACGUAGGGAAACUUACGCUAAUACCGCAUACGACCUACGGGUGAAAGCAGGAGAUCUUCGGACCUUGCGCGAUUGAAUGAGCCGAUUUCGGAUUAGCUAGUUGGCGGGGUAAAGGCCCACCAAGGCGACGAUCCGUAGCUGGCCUGAGAGGAUGAUCAGCCACACUGGAACUGAGACACGGUCCAGACUCCUACGGGAGGCAGCAGUGGGGAAUAUUGGGCAAUGGGCGCAAGCCUGAUCCAGCCAUGCCGCGUGGGUGAAGAAGGCCUUCGGGUUGUAAAGCCCUUUUGUUGGGAAAGAAAAGCAGCAGGUUAAUACCCCGCUGUUCUGACGGUACCCAAAGAAUAAGCACCGGCUAACUUCGUG